rnacentral:rRNA from 1 species
GAUGAACGCUGGCGGCGUGCCUAAUACAUGCAAGUCGAGCGAACGGACGAGAAGCUUGCUUCUCUGAUGUUAGCGGCGGACGGGUGAGUAACACGUGGAUAACCUACCUAUAAGACUGGGAUAACUUCGGGAAACCGGAGCUAAUACCGGAUAAUAUUUUGAACCGCAUGGUUCAAAAGUGAAAGACGGUCUUGCUGUCACUUAUAGAUGGAUCCGCGCUGCAUUAGCUAGUUGGUAAGGUAACGGCUUACCAAGGCAACGAUGCAUAGCCGACCUGAGAGGGUGAUCGGCCACACUGGAACUGAGACACGGUCCAGACUCCUACGGGAGGCAGCAGUAGGGAAUCUUCCGCAAUGGGCGAAAGCCUGACGGAGCAACGCCGCGUGAGUGAUGAAGGUCUUCGGAUCGUAAAACUCUGUUAUUAGGGAAGAACAUAUGUGUAAGUAACUGUGCACAUCUUGACGGUACCUAAUCAGAAAGCCACGGCUAACUACGUGCCAGCAGCCGCGGUAAUACGUAGGUGGCAAGCGUUAUCCGGAAUUAUUGGGCGUAAAGCGCGCGUAGGCGGUUUUUUAAGUCUGAUGUGAAAGCCCACGGCUCAACCGUGGAGGGUCAUUGGAAACUGGAAAACUUGAGUGCAGAAGAGGAAAGUGGAAUUCCAUGUGUAGCGGUGAAAUGCGCAGAGAUAUGGAGGAACACCAGUGGCGAGGGCGACUUUCUGGUCUGUAACUGACGCUGAUGUGCGAAAGCGUGGGGAUCAAACAGGAUUAGAUACCCUGGUAGUCCACGCCGUAAACGAUGUGUGCUAAGUGUUAGGGGGUUUCCGCCCCUUAGUGCUGCAGCUAACGCAUUAAGCACUCCGCCUGGGGAGUGCGACCGCAAGGUUGAAACUCAAAGGAAUUGACGGGGACCCGCACAAGCGGUGGAGCAUGUGGUUUAAUUCGAAGCAACGCGAAGAACCUUACCAAAUCUUGACAUCCUUUGACAACUCUAGAGAUAGAGCUUUCCCCUUCGGGGGACAAAGUGACAGGUGGUGCAUGGUUGUCGUCAGCUCGUGUCGUGAGAUGUUGGGUUAAGUCCCGCAACGAGCGCAACCCUUAAGCUUAGUUGCCAUCAUUAAGUUGGGCACUCUAAGUUGACUGCCGGUGACAAACCGGAGGAAGGUGGGGAUGACGUCAAAUCAUCAUGCCCCUUAUGAUUUGGGCUACACACGUGCUACAAUGGACAAUACAAAGGGCAGCGAAACCGCGAGGUCAAGCAAAUCCCAUAAAGUUGUUCUCAGUUCGGAUUGUAGUCUGCAACUCGACUACAUGAAGCUGGAAUCGCUAGUAAUCGUAGAUCAGCGUGCUACGGUGAAUACGUUCCCGGGUCU